rnacentral:rRNA from 1 species
UACGUAGGGUGCGAGCGUUGUCCGGAAUUACUGGGCGUAAAGAGCUCGUAGGUGGUUUGUCGCGUUGUUCGUGAAAACUCACAACUCAAUUGUGGGCGUGCGGCGAUACGGGCAGACUGGAGUGUGGUAGGGGAGACUGGAAUUCCUGGUGUAGCGGUGGAAUGCGCAGAUAUCAGGAGGAACACCGGUGGCGAAGGCGGUCUCUGGCCGAUGACUGACGCUGAGGAGCGAAGCGUGGGGAGCGAACAGGA